AGGGUUCGAUUCUGGCUCAGGAUGAACGCUGGCGGCGUGCUUAACACAUGCAAGUCGAACGGGAUCCAUCAGGCUUUGCUUGGUGGUGAGAGUGGCGAACGGGUGAGUAAUGCGUGACCGACCUGCCCCAUACACCGGAAUAGCUCCUGGAAACGGGUGGUAAUGCCGGAUGCUCCGGUUGGAUGCAUGUCCUUCCGGGAAAGAUUCUAUCGGUAUGGGAUGGGGUCGCGUCCUAUCAGCUUGAUGGCGGGGUAACGGCCCACCAUGGCUUCGACGGGUAGCCGGCCUGAGAGGGCGACCGGCCACAUUGGGACUGAGAUACGGCCCAGACUCCUACGGGAGGCAGCAGUGGGGAAUAUUGCACAAUGGGCGCAAGCCUGAUGCAGCGACGCCGCGUGCGGGAUGGAGGCCUUCGGGUUGUAAACCGCUUUUGAUCGGGAGCAAGCCCUUCGGGGUGAGUGUACCUUUCGAAUAAGCACCGGCUAACUACGUGCCAGCAGCCGCGGUAAUACGUAGGGUGCAAGCGUUAUCCGGAAUUAUUGGGCGUAAAGGGCUCGUAGGCGGUUCGUCGCGUCCGGUGUGAAAGCCCAUCGCUUAACGGUGGGUCUGCGCCGGGUACGGGCGGGCUGGAGUGCGGUAGGGGAGACUGGAAUUCCCGGUGUAACGGUGGAAUGUGUAGAUAUCGGGAAGAACACCAAUGGCGAAGGCAGGUCUCUGGGCCGUCACUGACGCUGAGGAGCGAAAGCGUGGGGAGCGAACAGGAUUAGAUACCCUGGUAGUCCACGCCGUAAACG
rnacentral:rRNA from 1 species